AACAAACCCCUGUGGUACCCAAACUACAUUUCCCAUAAUUCCUAACACAGGAUAUAAAGGACAUCAGGAAAUGCAGCACUCUUUUAAUUACACCUUGGUUCCAUGCUGCAGUCAUGGAUCCCGGUAGAACCAUGGCCAGUAGAUUGGGAGGAGGUGCUGUCGUCUCUCCCCAUGGAUCCACGCUGUCCUGCAGGUUUGGAAAAAAAGUCAGUUGUCUGCUCAGCGUUUACUGAGGAGCUGGUGGUGCGCUGGGAGCUCGCUGACAACUUCUGCUUCUACAAACACAACUACAACAACAUUUCAGGGGCGAAGAAGACAUUACAGAAUCACGCUAAGGACUGCAGACACUACUUUCAGAAAAAAAGAGCAGCUGGAGAAGGUCAAGACCCAUGACCAGCUGUGGAACGCUGCACAGAAGAAGAUAAACAGGUGGAGGAGACCAUGAAAUGAGUUCGACAGAUCUGUUCUCAUCAUUCCAGAGGAACAUCACAACAUGCAAACAUCUGCAGAGUCAACAUGACAAGACUACAGCCCUCAUCAUUCCUUC